rnacentral:rRNA from 1 species
GACAGAGGGUGCAAACGUUGUUCGGAAUUACUGGGCGUAAAGCGCGUGUAGGCUGCUAUGCAAGUCGGGUGUGAAAGCCCACGGCUCAACCGUGGAAGUGCACUCGAAACUGCAUAGCUGGAGUCCUGGAGAGGAAGGCGGAAUACUCGGUGUAGAGGUGAAAUUCGUAGAUAUCGAGUGGAACACCGGUGGCGAAGGCGGCCUUCUGGACAGUGACUGACGCUGGAACGCGAAAGCGUGGGGAGCAAACAGG